GGUAGCGUGUCCGAGCGGCCUAAGGAGCUCGCCUCGAAAGCGAGUGUGGGGGCAACUCCACCGAGGGUUCAAAUCCCUCCGCUACCGCCA
rnacentral:tRNA from 4 species